rnacentral:lncRNA from 1 species
AGAGAAAAGACGAAGACUCAGUUCUUAAGGCUGGAGGAAAUCUGUUAUUGGUAUUGGUGUCAUAUGUCUCCACCAGACAGCAGAACUGUGUGCCAAAUAUUUUCUACCUAAAAAUGAUUCUCAAUACCUGAUAAUUUUUUAUAUUUAGAAAUCUGUGAAAUACCUACAGAGUAACAGCUGCUACAGUUCUGCAUUAUGUACAUUAUUUCUCUUCAUAUCACUUUGUGAAGUAGGUAUACUGCACCUACUAAGCAUAUUUUACAUUGAGAACAUUGACUGCAGGUUUUCCUUUAUCUUAGACUAGUUUGGAUGAUUCAAUCAUAAUAUUUAUCACAACCGUACUAACUGAAAUCUGCUGCUGAUUUGGACAACUUUUACUUGCUUGGCUGGAAAUCUCAUUUGGACAGAUGCUAUCAACAUGAAGGGCUUAACUAUUUGCUGUGUGGAUAAAUGGAUUGGAAAUGCGACUAAUCUGUCAAAUACCCACAUUUUUAGUAGUAUGGAACAAGUUUGAAACUCAGCCUAUUACUGCUUGUAUAUUCUCUACCCUUGGUUCUGUCUUUGCUUAAGGAUUUGAUACUGACAUGCUGACUGCCUUUUCAUAAUGCAGUUGGAGCCCAGUGGAACUCUUGCUUUCACUCUGUCAUAUCCAUAUAAACUGGACAGGCAGAACAGUACCACCGCCAAAACAGAGUACUGUUUUGAAGACAACGUAAUAACAGAGAGCCAUUAUCUCAGCCUUCUUCACAACUGUAGCUGUGACUAUGCCUGGGACUAUGCCUAGCUGAAGCCGAGAACUGGGAACAAAAUCUUGGUUAUACCGUUGGAGGAAGGAGUCAACAACAUAAGCUAUCAUGUGCUAUUUCUCAAUGUGCACAUUAACUAGAAGCUGGAACUAGGAGUGCAGCACAGUCUUGUACCCUGGUACUGUGAUAUAGAAUGUAGGUAUCCCAAACAAUGACUUAAUUUCUAGGCAAAAUACACAACCCUGGAAUUAUUAGAAUUUUUCUUUAGCUUAAAAUAUUUUCUGUUUUGAACCAUUGGUUAUUUGGACACAUGAUGCCUACCUAUUUGGAUUUUUCGAAUUUCCUUCUGAUUUUCCUUUCUAAUUUCAUUCAUUUGCAAUCCAAAAAAUAUCUGUUCUAUUACUUUAGAAGUUCUAAAUUAUUGAGCCUUGUUUGAUGACCUAAAACAUGGUAUAAUCUGGAGUACAUUGUAUGUGCUGAAGAGAAUGUACUGUUUCUGGAUGCAAUAUUUUAUACAUAUAAAAUAGGAAUAGUUUGAUAAUGGUGUUCAAGUCUUACACAUCCUUGUUGAUUUGCUCUCUCUUAUUACAAGGUGUAUGCCAUCAUUAUUAUCCCCAACUGUUACUUUGAAAUUAUCCAGAGGGCUCCAAAAUGGCAGAAUAGGGAAGGAGCUCACUGAUGGUCCAGGAAAAGAUAGUUUAAUAAAAGUGGAGAUUCUAUAGUCUCA